AUUCAGGUUGUGCUUCCAGAAACACAACAAAGAACUAAACUACCAGUCAAGAGAAGGCCCAGUUGCAAGAAAAAGGCAUGUCCACAAGUGGGCAGAAGUACAUCUAAUAUGAUAUCUUCUUCUAUGAAUUAUGAUCUUGCUUCAUCUACUAUGAUUGAGAUUUUACAGGACCAAGCUAUAGCUACUCAACAAUCUCAAACAGCAGUGCCAGCUCCUCUACCAGAAAGCCAGUUCAUUGCAAACUGCAGAGAUGCCCUGCCAGCUCCAAGAAGCCACACUACUGCUACACUAGGUUUGAAGAGAAGGAAGAAAGUGAAAAAAACUAAGGAGAACAAAGCCCCAACAACUCAGAAGUGAAGAGCUACAAAGAUGUUAUGGAAAGAAGCAGUGUAGGAUGUUUUUCUUUUGCUUAGGAAACAAGGUGGUUUGUAAUGAAACCUCAUGCUAAGAUGUGGCUUUGGGUUUCACACAAACCAUGGAAAUGUAAUACUUUUGUUGCACAACUUCAAGACCUUGUAAUGUUGGGUCCAUCUAUCUAUCUUUCAGACUGCUUUGAAGUUCAGUUAGUAAAAGAAUGGCCUUGCAUAUUACUGUUUAUUUGUGUUGUCAAUGCUAGUAAAAAAAUGGUGCCAA